GUGAGAGUAGCCCAAGCGUGGUAGGUCUGUGUGUGUACGUACCACAGAAACCACAGAAACCACAGAAACCACAGAAACCUUCCUGUUUUGCAGCUGUCAUGCAGAGCACAGUCUUACGAGAGACUCAGACAGGAUUGCCAGUAAUGGUGCCCACGUGUUGUUGCAUGGAGAUGGAUCCUCAGGGCCUGCAGUGGGUCACUCUGAACAGAAGAUCCCUGCUCCUGGUAGCACACACUGCAAAACCCUUUCUGUAUGAGGUGAAUGCAGGUAAACCUGAAGUUUGUGGAGGUGUAUCUGAGAAAUUCGGACAUCGCCAGGACAUGACAGCUUUCUUGCAGGAAGGAUCUGAGGAAUCUGAGUGACCAAACACUAAAGUGACCGAUGAAGUCCCAUUCUGCACACGAAGUAUUGCCAAAGACAAAACUAACGUUUAAACAAGUAGUUUACAGCAAACAGAGUAAGUACUUCUUCACACUGUGCCUAAUUACAUUAUGAAACUGGUUAUUACAAGGAUCUGUGAAGACCAACAGUGUAAAUAGUUUCAAGUAAUGAGUGAGGAAGUUACAAGUAGAAAGAAGUAAAAGGAAGUGACUUUUGACUUUGGAGAGCCAAGCACAUAUUGAGAUUAUCCUGGUUGACAUGGAACAUAACAUGAAUACUCACUGAGUCUCAUUCCUGCUCAUGUUCCAGGAAAUGGUGCCUAUUGCCAGAGACAGCAUGCAAAGUAUUAGGAAGAUAAACCAGAACCAGACUUGUGAUUUAAUAAGGUCACAAAUCAAUCAGUGAAUUGACUGUCACUUAGAAACAAGGUAGAGCUCUCUUGUAAGAUCUAGCUUCAAAUGCGAGCUGGAACAUCCCUUCUUCUUCACUACACUCAGAGAGAUUUUAUUCCAAGUCUUGUUAUAUUAGCCCAGUGUCUUAAUGUCCUCUGAGUUUGAACAUAAUCCUAAAAGAUAAACAAAAUCACAAGGACCCAACUUUUCAAGAAAUUCAGCUGACAUCUAGCUAUCAAGUGCUGUCCAGAUUGUAAAAACAGAGUUAGUAGGUAUUAAUCCUUUGACUAAUCAAGAUAUGUACUAUGGAAAGGAAUUUUUGCAUACUUCCUAAUUUUAUUUUUGUCAAAUGAGGAAAAAUUGUAUUUAAUAAGUUUAUUUGUUAGCCUUUAUAAUGUGCCAUUCCUGACAAAUACCAUCAUGUCACCAUUUAUGUAGUGACUUCUAAACUGAAGACUGUCCCAAUAUGAAAUUCACUAGGCUACAUGCUGUAGUUACACUCUGAACAAAGAAGUAAAAUAGUUUGUAUAACUGUAUCAUUCCAGUCUGAUAGUCCAGUCCUCAGAGGUGAUCAAGUAUUUACCGUUGA
rnacentral:lncRNA from 1 species